GGAAGUCUUCGGCAAUGGACGAAAGUCUGACCGAGCAACGCCGCGUGAGUGAAGAAGGUUUUCGGAUCGUAAAACUCUGUUGGUAGAGAAGAACGUUGGUGAGAGUGGAAAGCUCAUCAAGUGACGGUAACUACCCAGAAAGGGACGGCUAACUACGUGCCGG
rnacentral:rRNA from 1 species